rnacentral:ncRNA from 1 species
CUCUGUUUCAGAUGACUCAGGGCAUAAAAGGAG